rnacentral:antisense_RNA from 1 species
CAUUAUGGUGGGCUGGGCAGGGGCGCUUCGGCGCGCCGUUUCCUUGAGUACGGUAGUUCCAACCCUGUCCAGUUCACCACCCAU